GAUGAACGCUGGCGGCGUGCCUAAUACAUGCAAGUCGAGCGAACGGACGAGAAGCUUGCUUCUCUGAUGUUAGCGGCGGACGGGUGAGUAACACGUGGAUAACCUACCUAUAAUACUGGGAUAACUUCGGGAAACCGGCGCUAAUACCGGAUAAUCUUUUGAACCGCAUGGUUCAAAAGUGAAAGACGGUCUUGCUGUCACUUAUAGAUGCAUCCGCGCUGCAUUAGCUAGUUGGUAAGGUAACGGCUUACCAAGGCAACGAUGCAUAGCCGACCUGAGAGGGUGAUAGGCCACACUGGAACUGAGACGCGGUCCAGACUACUACGAGAGGCAGCAGUAGGGAAUCUGCCGCAAUGGGCGAAAGCAUGACGGAGCAACGCCGCGUGAGUGAUGAAGGUCUUCGGAUCGUAAAACUCUGUUAUUAGGGAAGAACAUAUGUGUAAGUAACUGUGCACAGCGUGACGGUACCUAAUCAGAAAGCCACGGCUAACUACGUG
rnacentral:rRNA from 1 species